rnacentral:rRNA from 1 species
GACGAACGCUGGCGGCGUGCUUAACACAUGCAAGUCGAACAGAAAGGCCCUGCUUUUGUGGGGUGCUCGAGUGGCGAACGGGUGAGUAACACGUGAGUAACCUGCCCUUGACUUUGGGAUAACUUCAGGGAACUGGGGCUAAUACCGGAUAGGAGCUCCUGCUGCAUGGUGGGGGUUGGAAAGUUUCGGCGGUUGGGGAUGGACUCGCGGCUUAUCAGCUUGUUGGUGGGGUAGUGGCUUACCAAGGCUUUGACGGGUAGCCGGCCUGAGAGGGUGACCGGCCACAUUGGGACUGAGAUACGGCCCAGACUCCUACGGGAGGCAGCAGUGGGGAAUAUUGCACAAUGGGCGGAAGCCUGAUGCAGCAACGCCGCGUGCGGGAUGACGGCCUUCGGGUUGUAAACCGCUUUCGCCUGUGACGAAGCGUGAGUGACGGUAAUGGGUAAAGAAGCACCGGCUAACUACGUG